AAUGCACCAUUUUCGACUGAGAACAUCAAGAGGCCAGAAACUUCCAAGUCAGCUUGCAGACGCAGACGCCUCCUGGGGUCCUGGCUUUAAGAACCAGAUGCCAACACUCCCGGACAGUUUAUGGCAUCCGGAUCCCUCAAGGGUGCUCAUCUGCAGUUGAGAGUCUAAUAAAUGGCAUUAACAAAGCGUUUCAGCGACUACCACGGCUUCACAGUGGCUCCUCCCCUGCCCUGCCACCAUUCAGGCUGUAAUUCCUUCCAGGAUUCCCGCACCAUCCUGUGUGCCCAGAGCUCUCUAGAGCACCAGUCACCAUGUAACAAAUGCAGACAUCUCUGAGAUCACCAUGCAGUGAGGAAGUCUAAGCUGGUGGCAUGAAGAGGCCACAUGGAAAGGGCUAAAAAAGGGGCCAGCCUCAGUCAUCCCAGCUGAGCACCUGGCUGGGAAUAAAAGAGGACUCCGUGGAUGUCCAGCCCAGUAAGAUGACCUCAGCCCCAGCCACCAACUGACCAAGCACACAAGACAUCGUGAGGCUGCCUGCUGGAGCCUGGCCAGUGGGACUGUAGAGUAACUCAUUGUCGUGCAGGAACUCCUGGGAUGGUGUUGCCCAGUGACACAAUCCCAGUGUGGCCAUUUCUGAUCCCGAGAAAGCAGUCAGGAGUGGGUGGAUGCAGUUACAGUUCAUCAAGUCCUGCUAGUUCAAGUCAUGAGUCCUGAAUUCUCCAGGAGGAGCCACUAAAGAAAUGCAGAAGCAGGCAAUCCUUGCAAUAAGGCCAGCAAACUGCCAGUGUGAAGGAUGCCCAGGUAACCUGCCCAUGCCAGAACGGCCAGGAGAUGGUGGAACCAGAAUCUAAGCCCACGCCCAUCUGACCUCAAAGUCUGUGCUCCUGAGGUUCGCACCG
rnacentral:lncRNA from 1 species